AGCAGUCGCCACGGGAAUACGUAGGGUGCGAGCGUUAAUCGGAAUUACUGGGCGUAAAGCGUGCGUAGGCGGCUUCUUAAGUCGGAUGUGAAAUCCCUGAGCUUAACUUAGGAAUUGCAUUCGAUACUGGGAAGCUAGAGUAUGGGAGAGGAUGGUAGAAUUCCAGGUGUAGCGGUGAAAUGCGUAGAGAUCUGGAGGAAUACCGAUGGCGAAGGCAGCCAUCUGGCCUAAUACUGACGCUGAGGUACGAAAGCAUGGGGAGCAAACAGGAUUAGAUACCCCUGUAGUCCCUGUCUCUUAUAC
rnacentral:rRNA from 1 species